CGAGGCUCCUGACCGAGGUUUCUGACCCAGGCUUCUAGACGACGGUGGGCAAAACAAUGACUUGUUCUCGGGCUCUGCGUCCUGGGCCUCUCUGGCAGACCACCAGGCGUGGUCAGCAGCCAGAAAGUGUGACUGUGGCAACAAAACCAGAUCUGGAUUUCACCUCAGAACUCAGGACUCUGUGUACUUGGCCUUGGAGUUGACGUCCUCAGAGGUGACAUGUCUGGGAUCGCUCUCUGCCCUGACCAGCCUUCUAAUCCUGUUCGCAACUGGACGCCAUCUUCCCAGACAGCACCUUUAGUCCACCUGAGUCUAACUGUCAGGCUCAGGCAGAAAUAACCUGUCAUAAAGUAGACUUCUGGCUUCCUCUAGCAGGCCGUGUCAUCUGCUCUGCUCCUGCCUUGGGCUCCGGCUUAGGCAACAAGUUGUUCUCUAAGUCACCGCCUGGGAAGGGCUGAGGCAAAGUCCCUGUUUGGAGGGAGAGCACACGGCAGAUCCAGCGGGCAGAAGAGGACGGUGAGGAGGCUGGGCCAGGCUGCAGUGGCUGCAGGAGGAGCUAGACAACUCUCCCCUUGGACGUGCGCUCAGAAGUGGCACUGUCUCUGGGGCCCAGGAGGGAAGCCAAGAUGGCCCCCGCAGAUGGGGAGACUUGGUGACUGAGCCUUGGCCCAAGGUGGGAGCUGACCAGAUCUGAGAAAUAAAGUCAUGUCCCACCAACCAGAGUUCUGUGUCCCAUCCUUUCCACUGGAAGCUCCCUACCACCAAGUAGUCCUUCUCUUGCCAAUGUUUGUGUCAGGUCGGACCU